GACGAACGCUGGCGGCGUGCUUAACACAUGCAAGUCGAACGGAAAGGCCCUGCUUUUGUGGGGUGCUCGAGUGGCGAACGGGUGAGUAACACGUGAGUAACCUGCCCUUGACUUUGGGAUAACUUCAGGAAACUGGGGCUAAUACCGGAUAGGAGCUCCUGCUGCAUGGUGGGGGUUGGAAAGUUUCGGCGGUUGGGGAUGGACUCGCGGCUUAUCAGCUUGUUGGUGGGGUAGUGGCUUACCAAGGCUUUGACGGGUAGCCGGCCUGAGAGGGUGACCGGACACAUUGGGACUGAGAUACGGCCAAGACUCCUACGGGAGGCAGCAGUGGGGAAUAUUGCACAAUGGGAGGAAGCCUGAUGCAGCAACGCCGCGUGCGGGAUGACGGCCUUCGGGUUGUAAACCGCUUUCGCCUGUGACGAAGCGUGAGUGACGGUAAUGGGUAAAGAAGCACCGGCUAACUACGUG
rnacentral:rRNA from 1 species